rnacentral:rRNA from 1 species
UACAGAGGGUGCGAGCGUUAAUCGGAAUUAUUGGGCGUAAAGAGCUCGUAGGCGGCUCGUCGCGUCGACCGUGAAAACCCGCGGCUUAACUGCGGGCUUGCGGUUGAUACGGGCGGGCUAGAGUUCGGUAGGGGAGACUGGAAUUCCUGGUGUAGCGGUGAAAUGCGCAGAUAUCAGGAGGAACACCGGUGGCGAAGGCGGGUCUCUGGGCCGAUACUGACGCUGAGGAGCGAAAGCGUGGGGAGCGAACAGG